rnacentral:rRNA from 1 species
CAGCCGUAAACUAUGCGCGUUAGGUGUACUGGUGACCACGAGUCACCGGGGUGCCGAAGGGAAACCGUGAAACGUGCCGCCUGGGAAGUACGGUCGCAAGGCUGAAACUUAAAGGAAUUGGCGGGGGAGCACCACAACAGGUGGAGCCUGCGGUUUGAUUGGAUUCAACGCCGGACAUCUCACCGGAUAAGACAGCUGAAUGAUUGUCAAUCUGAAGGUUUUACAUGACUAGCUGAGAGGUGGUGCAUGGCGUCAGUGACU